rnacentral:rRNA from 1 species
CCUACGGGAUGCAGCAGUGGGGAAUCUUGCACAAUGGGGGAAACCCUGAUGCAGCAACGCCGCGUGAAGGAAGAAGUAUUUCGGUAUGUAAACUUCUAUCAUCAGGGAAGAAAAUGACGGUACCUGACUAAGAAGCCCCGUCUAACUAUGUGCCAACAGCCGCAGUAAUACGUAGGUGGCAAGCGUUAUCCGGAUUUAAUGGGGGUAAAGGGAGCGUAGGCGGCGAUGAAAGUCAGAAGUGAAAGCCCGGGGCUUAACUCCGGGACUGCUUUUGAAACUGUAUGGCUAGAUUGCAGGAGAGGCAAGUGGAAUUCCUAGUGUAGCGGUGAAAUGCGUAGAUAUUAGGAGGAACACCAGUGGCGAAGGCGGCUUGCUGGACUGUAAAUGACGCUGAGGCUCGAAAGCGUGGGGAGCAAACAGGAUUAGAUACCCGAGUAGUC